rnacentral:rRNA from 1 species
AGUGAACGCUGGCGGUAGGCCUAACACAUGCAAGUCGAACGGCAGCACAGUAAGAGCUUGCUCUUACGGGUGGCGAGUGGCAGACGGGUGAGGAAUACAUCGGAAUCUACUUUUUCGUGGGGGAUAACGUAGGGAAACUUACGCUAAUACCGCAUACGACCUACGGGUGAAAGCAGGGGAUCUUCGGACCUUGCGCGAUUGAAUGAGCCGAUGUCGGAUUAGCUAGUUGGCGGGGUAAAGGCCCACCAAGGCGACGAUCCGUAGCUGGUCUGAGAGGAUGAUCGGCCACACUGGAACUGAGACACGGUCCAGACUCCUACGGGAGGCAGCAGUGGGGAAUAUUGGACAAUGGGCGCAAGCCUGAUCCAGCCAUACCGCGUGGGUGAAGAAGGCCUUCGGGUUGUAAAGCCCUUUUGUUGGGAAAGAAAAGCAGCAGGUUAAUACCCCGCUGUUCUGACGGUACCCAAAGAAUAAGCACCGGCUAACUUCGUG